AAAAGGCAAAAGUCAAAGAUAGCGUCUGUUUUGAGGGGUAUUUACGUCAUUGUACAAUUCUCUAUCCAUCCAGUCUUCGUCCUCCCUUCCUUGCAACUUUCUUCGUCUUCGAUUCCUUGCUUCCCCCGUCGAUCUCGCUGUUGACCAAUACAGAGAAAGCUCUCUACUGCUUUCACACCUCUCUAUUCAAAACAUGGCAGAGAACGGCGAAGAAAAGCUACUCGCCGUAGCGCGCCACAUAGCCAAGACCCUCGGCCACAACGAGUCCAUGGCCGACGACAUCCUCCAGAUCUUCUCCACCUUCGACGGCAGAUUCUCCCGCGAGAAGCUCUCCGAGGACCAACCCUCAGAAGACGGAUCCGGAGGAGUCGCCGCCCUCGAGCGAGCUCUCAACUCGCUAGACUCCCAGAUCUCCCGCUUCGUCGCCUCCGAUCAGCCGAUCUGGUCCGAUCCCGCCGACUCCGCCGCCUUCCUCGACUCCAUCGACGAGCUCGUGAACCUCACCAGAGAGUGGAGCCACGCGUCCUCAGAAAAGCCCAUCGGCGCGUGCCUCUCACGCGCCGACGACAUGAUGCAGCAGGCCAUGUUCCGCAUCGAGGAGGAGUUCAGGUCUCUCAUGGACCACGGCGCCGAGUCGUUCCCGGUGAGCCACCGUUUCGACGAAUCGGAGGAGGAAGACGAUGUUGAUGAUGGAGAAGAAGACUGCGACGAUUCUCAGAUCCCAGUCGCGCAGCCGUUGGUCGUUUGUGAAGUCAAGGGUGUUUAGUUCUAACCUAGGAACCCAUUUCCAGAGAUGUCUCCAUCUAGAGGACAGAACACUCGUCCAAACCGCUUGCUCAGUAGUGAGAAAGCUGAGUAUGUGGCAUAACAACGGUUCAGGUAAAAAGCUUAUCCUAUCUUCUCCACUGAUAACAACAACUUGUUCUCGUUCUCGAACAGAUCUAGAUCAGAGAGGAGCUUACCGCUUUUGGUACUUAUACCAUUAUUACAAAAAAAAUCGAAACUUCAACAGCGCAACGAGUAAGGAAGGAGAGAGAGAAGAUCAGAGAGGAGCUUACCGCUUUUGGUACUUAUAGAACUGCUUCAUUGAAGCUAUCUCCUGAUACCUUGAUUUGAUUCAGUAAUCUUUUCCCUGAAAAUUUAGGGUUUGUGAACGUCUCUUCGUCUUUUUGUUCUUGUGUAAUGAGUCAAUGACUAAUGAGCCCUGUUAAAAAAUGUGGCUGCCUAGAGGCCUAGGCGCUGGAGUAUGCGCAACUUGGACAUCUCCUGCAGCAAAUUCGGUAUGAUCGUCUAACAAAAUUGGACACCGAUUACCCGGCCCAUUAAAUCGAUUAGUCGGCCCUUUAACCAACAAUCGGUCUGUCUACCAAUUAAUCGGCUCAAUCACCAACUAACCGGCUCGAUUAUAUUAAAUUAUAAACUGUAAAAGUAUAUAUUGGGUUUUAGAGGAAUUUCGAAUCCCAAAUACUUUACCCUUUCUUUAGCACGUGAAUUCUAUAUGGAUUAAUACUGGAUCAGCUUGUAUGGCUUUUUUCGUUCUAAUCAUUUAAUGUCAUUUAAAAAAAAAAAUAGAGCCAGUAUACAUGAUUUCUACCGUAAUUAGAGUAUCUAUAAAGUAAAAUUCCACUUUUUUAAAAGUGGAAUAAAAUGAAAUAUAGAGUUAAAAUGCUCAAAUCCUACUUUAUUUUUUAUUCUAUAAAAGAGUAACGAACAAACAAAAAUUGAUUACUUCAUUUAUGUAAUAAAUUUUUUUAUAGAGUGAUAAAUAAAGUUGGAUUGAAAUCAUAUUUUCUGUUUCUUCGUUUUAGAGCAAACAAAUGGAGUUAGCCGAAAAUGCCCUUAAAACCAUUUUUCAUUUAUCGUUUCUUUUUACAAUUAGUUUUGCGAAGAUGACAUGAACAUAAUUUUCAAAAAGCAAAUGACAUGAACAAAAGCAUGCACAAAAUUUAUAAGCCAAAACAAAAAUAAAAAAACCACAAAUGUAAUGAAAAGAAAUACAUAAACGAAACAUUAGGCUUUGGCAUUGAGCAUUUAUAAGUAGGGAAUAUCUGUAAAUUAUUAAACCACAAGCCCAAUGGGCCUUUAUAGAAUCUGAAUCAAACUGUUUGUGAGACCAGAGCUAAAAGAGUCACCGUCGUCAAUUCCAAGCCUAUACGCCGCCGCAGCACUUCCACCGUCGCCGGUAAUCUGAAUCUUCUUGGCGGAAUGGAGGAAGAAAUGGCGAAUCGUAGAGUGUCGAGUCGGACUCGCAAGGUUGCUUCGAAGAUGGCGGACCGAUAAUCGAACGCAGGUGCUUUGUUUGAUUUCGAGAAGAAAAAAAAAUUUCAGUUGUAUUUCUAAUGGUUUAAUUAUAGGCUGCGAUUGCACGGCUGGAAGCUUUGGAGAACGAUAAUGGAGCUGUGGAGGUGGUUGAUUUGAACGAUGAUGGAGAAGCGUCUCUUGACGAAGACGAUGAUCUCGGUGAAUAAACUUAUUUUCUCUCUCUGUGAUCUGAAGUUCAAGUUUUAAUCAUGUGUUUUGGUUUGUUGCAGGUUACGUGCAGAAGAAGCAACACAAGGGAUCAAAGCGUAAAACUCGACAAGCAAAAGCUUUGGAGGCUCGUAAAGCUCAUCAUAAGUCCUUCACUGAGCUCUUGCAGGAGGUAAAAGUGAUUAAAACUCUUUGUUAUUGUUUCUGCAGCUAAGCUCAGCUGAUAUGGUUUCUCUUUCAGGCGAAUUUGGAAUCUUUACCGUCGCAUGUGCCCACUUACUUGAAAGCAGCCGUGGGACCUCCUAGUUCGUCUUCUCGUCGCCAUUUCUGUACAGUCUGUGGGUACAUUGCGGGAUAUAGUUGCUGCUUAUGUGGGAUGCGGUUUUGUUCUAUUCGUUGUCAAAACAUUCACAAGGAUACUCGUUGUCAGAAGUUUGUUGCAUAGGAAUCGAGUAGCAUUGUACUGAAACAUCAUCAGUCUCAUUGUUUGUGUAAUGAAUGUGUUGUCAGAUGAAAUAUCACGUUUCUCUCUAAAGUGUUCUUAUGAUUUUGGAGGAUCGAACGUGGGACAUCUGUUGUUUGAGCGUUUCCAGUAGCUUUCUCUUAGAUUCCCCAGCUCUGGAGAAAUUCACUAAGGACUCUGUUGCGCCAUGACUGUUUUACGUGCUGAAUCUACUGUGCUCCAUGUUUUCAGUGCUUCAAAGAUGCGAUGUCCAACCCCUUGAUUCUUUGCUAAAUUGCUUCUCCAUAACCAUUCGCAGCAGCAUAUCUGAUAUUGCAUUGCCCUCCAUACCACAACCUUAUUUUAUCAAACCGCCCGGUUUACACCUACCCACAACCCGGUUGAAAACAAAAGUAAGCUACCAGUGACAGUGAAGUCACAAAGAUAUCAAUAUUACACGCCCGUGCCACUUUCAGACAAAAAGGCAAAAGUCAAAGAUAGCGUCUGUUUUGAGGGGUAUUUACGUCAUUGUACAAUUCUCUAUCCAUCCAGUCUUCGUCCUCCCUUCCUUGCAACUUUCUUCGUCUUCGAUUCCUUGCUUCCCCCGUCGAUCUCGCUGUUGACCAAUACAGAGAAAGCUCUCUACUGCUUUCACACCUCUCUAUUCAAAACAUGGCAGAGAACGGCGAAGAAAAGCUACUCGCCGUAGCGCGCCACAUAGCCAAGACCCUCGGCCACAACGAGUCCAUGGCCGACGACAUCCUCCAGAUCUUCUCCACCUUCGACGGCAGAUUCUCCCGCGAGAAGCUCUCCGAGGACCAACCCUCAGAAGACGGAUCCGGAGGAGUCGCCGCCCUCGAGCGAGCUCUCAACUCGCUAGACUCCCAGAUCUCCCGCUUCGUCGCCUCCGAUCAGCCGAUCUGGUCCGAUCCCGCCGACUCCGCCGCCUUCCUCGACUCCAUCGACGAGCUCGUGAACCUCACCAGAGAGUGGAGCCACGCGUCCUCAGAAAAGCCCAUCGGCGCGUGCCUCUCACGCGCCGACGACAUGAUGCAGCAGGCCAUGUUCCGCAUCGAGGAGGAGUUCAGGUCUCUCAUGGACCACGGCGCCGAGUCGUUCCCGGUGAGC
rnacentral:lncRNA from 1 species